rnacentral:rRNA from 1 species
UACGGGGGGGGCAAGCGUUGUUCGGAAUUACUGGGCGUAAAGGGCUCGUAGGCGGCCAACUAAGUCAGACGUGAAAUCCCUCGGCUUAACCGGGGAACUGCGUCUGAUACUGGAUGGUUUGAAUCCGGGAGAGGGAUGCGGAAUUCCAGGUGUAGCGGUGAAAUGCGUAGAUAUCUGGAGGAACACCGGUGGCGAAGGCGGCAUCCUGGACCGGCAUUGACGCUGAGGAGCGAAAGCCAGGGGAGCAAACGGG